rnacentral:tRNA from 1 species
UAAAAAAUAAGCUAAGUAAGCUAGUGAGUUCAUACCUCAUUUAUAAAGAUUUCUUUUUUUUUAA